rnacentral:rRNA from 1 species
CCUACGGGUGGCAGCAGUGAGGAAUAUUGGUCAAUGGACGAGAGUCUGAACCAGCCAAGCAGCGUGCAGGAUGACUGCCCUAUGGGUUGUAAACUUCUUUUAUAUGGGAAUAAACCUGGGUAUGCAUCCCCUCUUGUAUGUACCUUAUGAAUAAGGAUCGGCUAACUCCGUGCCAGCAGCCGCGGUAAUACGGAGGAUCCAAGCGUUAUCCGGAUUUAUUGGGUUUAAAGGGUGCGUAGGUGGAUUGUUAAGGCAGUGGUGAAAGGUUGGGGCUCAACCGUGGAAUUGCAUUUGCAACUGGAAGUCUAGAGUACAGUAGAGGUAGGCGGAAUGUGUGGUGUAGCGGUGAAAUGCUUAGAGAUCACGAAGAACUCCGAUUGCGAAGGCAGCUCAC